rnacentral:rRNA from 1 species
UUCGCCACUGUUAGUUACAUCACAAGUUACUCAUAAAAAAUCGAGCCCUGACUAUCAAAAAACAAAAAACAUUUCUGAAAAAAAGAUGAAUAAGGGCAUAUAUAGGCCUGGGCGUUCGGUUAGACCGAAAAAUUUGUUUCAGUACUUCGGUUUAUACAGAAAUUUGGUUUCAUGUUUUUUCCUGACCGAUCGAUCUUCAGAAAAAUCAAUGACUAAGACUUUGGUGAACCUAUAAUUCUGUUCGGUCCUCGGUUAUUACCGAAGGGACCCGAUAUUUUUGUUGGGAUGAAGAAUCGGGAAUCAAAUCUUGGCCAAGAAAAUAGGGAGAGGAGAACAAGAAUUAAUUGAUCCAUCUGUAUCAUACAGCAGCGGGUGCAUCAUCGGAAGCGGGCAGCCGUCCAUGAAGGAGUGUUGGCCGUGAACCCAUGACCGCGUGGGAGUGAUGGAUGUCCUCGGCCAUCACCUAUCGCGAGGGAGCCAUGGGCGCCGCCGGCAGCCACCACGCGGGACGCAUGGGUGCACGCACGCAGCCGGCCGCUGCUGGUUUGUGCGAGGUUGGGAAACUAGAGGUGGCGGCGCUGCGUGGAGUGGCCUGUAGAUGAGUGGAGGAAGGCAAAGCCUUUAGCGGAUCCAGGAUAAGAUGCGGGGACUGUGUGUGUGGUUGAGGAAAACG